AUGAUAGAAAUUGUCUUAGCUAUAUGUAAAAGCCUGGAGUUGUUCUGUAGCCAUUGAUCUAUGCAAUAUGAUUUCCAUGUGAAAUGUUAAGUGGCCAUAAUAUAGGUACAGCAUAGAUAGAGCAUAAAUGUAGUAUUGAUAUAGCAUAGGUGCAGAGAUAUGGUAUAGGUGCAGAGAUAUGGCAUAGGUGGAGAGUUAAAAAACUUGAUGUAGAUACAGUGUUUGCUAUAGCUUAGGUGCAGGAUUUAAAAAAUGUAACUGAUGUAUUUUUUUUAUCUGGAAUGGAUGCUGUAUAUGAUAUAACAUAGGUGCAGUAUCCGAUAUAACAUAGGUGCAGUAUCCGAUAUAACAUAAGUGCAGUAUCUGAUAUAACAUAGGUGCAGUAUCCAAUAUAACAUAAGUGCAGUAUCUGAUAUAACAUAGGUGCAGUAUCUGAUAUAACAUAGGUGCAGUAUCUGAUAUAACAUAAGUGCAGUAUCCGAUAUAACAUAGGUGCAGUAUCCGAUAUAACAUAGGUGCAGUAUCUUAUAUAACAUAGAUCUAUCUGAUAUAACAUAAGUGCAGUAUCUGAUAUAACAUAAGUGCAGUAUCUGAUAUAAUAUAGAUGCAGUAUCUAAUAUAACAUGGAUGCUGUAUCUGAUAUAACAUAAGUGCAGUAUCUGAUAUAACAUAGAGGCAGUAUAUGAUAUAACAUAGAUGCACUAUCUGAUAUAACAGAUGCAGUAUCAAUAUAACAGAGGCGGUAUAUGAUAUAACAGAUGCAGUAUCCAUAUAACAGAUGCAGUAUCCAUAUAACAGAUUUAUCUGAUAUAACAUAGAUGCAGUAUCUGAUAUAAGAUAGGUGCAGUAUAUGAUAUAACAUAGAUGCAGUAUCCAUAUAACAGAGGCAGUAUGAUCUAACAUAGAUGCAGUAUCCAUAUAACAGAUUUAUCUGAUAUAACAUAGAUGCAGUAUCUGAUAUAAGAUAGAUGCAGUAUCCAUAUAACAGAUGCAGUAUGAUAUAACAGAUGCAGUAUCCAUAUAACAGAUGCAGUAUGAUAUAACAUGCAGUAUCCAUAUAACAGAUCUAUCUGAUAUAACAGACGCAGUAUCUAAUAUAAGAUAGAUGCAGUAUAUGAUAUAACAUAGAUGCAGUAUCCAUAUAACAGGCAGUAUGAUAUAACAGAUGCAGUAUCCAUAUAACAGAUCUAUCUGAUAUAACAUAGAUGCAGUAUCUGAUAUAACAUAGAUGCAGUAUCCAUAUAACAGAGGCAGUAUAUGAUAUAACAGAUGCAGUAUCCAUAUAACACAGAUGAAGUAUUUGAUAUAGCAUAGAUACAACAGUAUAUUUUACAGCAUAAGUAGAGUAUUUGAGACAGCAAAGAUCUAGUAUUGAAUCGCAUGAACAUAGUAAUGCAUUCAUGCAGUGUUUGGUCCAGAUGCAGUAUUUGAUACAGGAGUGAUGCAGUAUUGUUAUAGCAUAGAUGAUGGGCCAUUAUUCCAAUAUUCAGUCAAGAUGCUGUGUAUAUUAGAGCAUUGAUGCAAUAUAUGGAAUAAAGACAUGAUCAACACAGCAUAAAUCUGUUCAACACACAGCAGGGAUCAAAUUUGUGUAGCAUAGAUUUUAU